GUUCCUUGUUUAAGCAACAAUCAAAUCUAAUCAGCGAUUGUUUAUUUACGAAAAAUGUAAGCCUUGACCUGCCCAACCAGAUGUUCAUAAUUGAAUUACGGAAAUGACGUCAAGGAAUUGAACUGGACAUGCGUGGACACCCAGCUAAUUAGAUAAAGGUUAGGAAAGGGCCGUUGAACCAAAGCAUCAAAGCGACUGCACGUUACAGUGGCCACUUACCAAUGAGUAUUAUUUUAACCAUCUGGUUCUCUGGCCCAAGGCAAGGCGUCUUCAUAGUUCAAGAAAUGUCGAAGAGAAAGCCGCGUGCGAAUUGGGCGAUCGAAAUUGAAGUGGUUCACAUAUGUUAUUGGUAUCUCGCCGAAGUACGAGCUCGUUCUCGCCUUUUCCAUAGUAGGACUGCAGUUUAUAACCGUACAAUAGCUUCAGUGAGAAAAGGAAAGGUUUGCUUUAAAGACGCGGUGUUUGCUCUGGAAAUAGCAGACAUGUCGUUGUAGAAUAUAUUCUAGUUUACACAGGUAUCAUAGGACUAAACUUUAUGCUCAAUUAGGUUGUAUUUAUUACUUAUUGACCAAGACUGUCACGGUAGUUAGGUAUGAAUUAGGUUUAUUCUGAAAUCUGAAGUUUUUUCACGGAUCAUGUAAAAACAAGACGAAAUUUCAUUCUUAAAAUGGAUUCAAGGCUUACUUGUUUCAUCUUCCUGCUAAAUGACCGACCGCCAAUUGAUGUUUACGUCUACAAAUUACUACUCGGCGCCACAUUCUAGACACUGUUUCAGAUAGUAAAAGCAUUUCCUGACCACUUGCUCACAAUCAAUCCUGUUUAACUGUGUCAAGACCUUUUCUACAUCAUAAGUUACCCCAUACUGUAUAACAACUUAUCAAUACUGCUUUGGAGACACUAAAAUGACAUUUACAUAGUUAUAUUUACUUCUAGUAGGAUACUUUAAAAGUCCGUGGCUAUGGAUAAACUGCAUACGUGACUUGCCAUAGGCGCAUGCCUAAUUUAGCGCUGAAUAAACUUUAAUAAUGCCUGCUCGCACUUAACAUAGGAAAGGUUGGUAUACAUUACUGUCAACAUGAACUCAUUACCAACUGAGAUAGUGAAAUAUUGAUUAAAUGCUUUGAAAAUUUGUUUUUGACGUAACAAACGUAAUAUUUAAAUGUACUAGAAUUGACUCAUUGUUGUAGUUGUAUGUUGGAACAAUGGUGUUUUUGA